rnacentral:lncRNA from 1 species
ACAAUUUAGUGUCUGCGUCUGGACUCCCACAUCCCCUUCUGGUGUUCCCAGUACAAGAAAGAUUCUGAUGUGCGUGUAGUGUGUGUAGUGUAGUGUGCCCAGCCCAGGGCAUUCAGGACAGCAUGGGCCUAGGGCAUACGGCAUACAAGGGCAAGCUGAAGGAACUCCUUGCGUCAGAAUUAGGGAGAGAAGGCGCAGGGGUGGACCCGACUGCUGCCUAUAGCUGUUUACUGGGAGAGUGUAGAGAAGAUGAAGCCUGAGACUCCUCAGUGGAAAGGCAAGCACCCCCAAGGCCACGCUUGCAGAUGGAGACAUCCCCAUGGAUAAAAGGAAAAGUUUGUUCUCACAAGGAUGCUCAGACAGAAGAGGUGUCCAGAGAGGCAACACAAUCUCUGUCCUGGGGGACACCUGAAUGACAAGGUUGGAUGUUCCCAGAGAUCUCCUUGUCCUUGGUGUGCCGCUCAGGGAUCUUCAGGCAGGUGUAGCCCCUAGGCUUCCCAGAUAAGGAGGGGAGGCUGGUCAGCUGGUUGCUUCUUGGAUCCUCUGAUUUGCCUGUCUUGAAGGUGGUCCCAAUGCUUGCCUCUUUCUAGUGCCCUGGAACAUGUUCCUGCUCCAUGUGUGGUCCCUCCCAUGGGAUGCUGUCUGCUGAUCACUACUGAUCUUCCAGAUAGGUGGGGAGGAAGCGGCAUCCCAUAGUCUGAGGGGACUGAAGAAAGAUCUCAAGGCCUUGGGACAGUUGGUGAAAGAGUCUGGGGCACAAAUCAUUUUCUCUUCCUUCCUUCUGUUAUGGGGUAGUGACGUGGGGCAGAAUAGAAGGAUCCAGUCCAUAAAUGAUUGGCUCUGUGACUGGUGCUACAGGCAGGGCUUUGGGUUCUUGGAUAUGAAAUGCAAUAAUCAGAUUUUGAUCCUUAAGAUUUCAGGCAUCUUGCAAUAUCUGCAUUUCUAUCUAUACUUUGUUUCUUCACAAGGUAAGUUGUGUCUUCCCUCUCAUCUAUCUUCUUGUCCCAUUAGAGUUGGCUUAAGUCACUCUGUGAAACCCAUUUUCCCUCUUCCUCCUCACCUCUAGACUCAUGGGUGUUCCUCUGGUGUGUUUAUCCUUGCUAGCCCCACUAACCUUUUCAGAGAGGUUUAGCACUCUCCUUCAUUUUGAAGCAUAAUUUGCAUUAUUUUGGUUUCCUCAGUGCAUCACUGAGAGGGACAGGUAACCUGCUAAAACAUACAGACAUAAAUUUUGGAAAGGGUGUUUUAAAGGUCAUCAGGAUCUGCAAGUUUGAUAAAUUUGCAAUCAAGUGAAGACUACUGCCAGUCUUAAUAAUAACAUAUUCCAAUUGUGAUUGAAACAAUAAUUAUGAGAUUGUGCACUCUGGAAAUGCUAAGACUAUUUCAGAUGUAAUCCAUGUAAAAAUUAGUUCACUGUAUAGCUAAAGAUUAUCAACUGGCAUCUCUAAUUUAUUCCCAAAUGCUUUUUUAAUGGCUUUAUUUUUUUCUGAGAACAAAACUUGUUUGGGGGAUGCUGGAGGAGAUCCACAGAGAUCUCAGGAAGAGAUGCUGGGUAUUUUCAUAAAUAUAUCAGUCUUGGUCACUGAAGAUGAGAUCAAUGAGCUAACAGAUAUAUAACGAAGAGAUCUGAGAGUAAAUGCAUUGUGGUUAGGUAUUUCUGUUUUACGUGGGUUGGAUAUUGCUACUGGUUUUAGCUUCACCAUCUGCAGCACUUUUUUCUUCAGCUGAGACAUGUAAGUGACCAAGUACGUAACUUAUUAAAUCAGUUGCCUACAAUGACAUAAAACUAACAGUAUUUUUUUUGUUAGUAAAGGUCACCCAGUCUGUCACGAGGAGUUAACUGAAAAUAGUAACUUCCUUGCUUAUAAAUAUUUUGACCUUUCAGUUUUUCUCUCCCAAACUGUAGUCACAAACAGAAUUUUAGCCAAAGAAUAUUGAAGGGCUGAUCUUUCUUGUGAUGAAGAUCUUCUUAAAAAAUGAGACAUGGAUAUUUUUCCACAUGAAAUUUAAUUUUGACCUUGAAAGAAUUAAAGAGAGGUAAAAUAUAGACUAGCCUGGGGCUUACU